GUGAAAAUAGAAAGGAGUCUUUAUGGUCUCCUCUUUCAGGGCAAAGCGGCCAACAUUGACCUCCAUCCUGGGCUGGGGAUGAAGCGUGGCUACCGGGCGACAUGCAUAUUGCUUCACAUGCCACCUCUUGCCUCCCAUCUUAGGAAACUCAGCUGCUUGAUUUUUCACUCUCAGGAGAUGAGACAGCCGGUCUUGGGGGAAAGUGGAAACCGCAGCACACACGACGCAUUUUUCAAAUGCUUGUGUUACCCAGAGCCCUCGAGAACGAGAAAGGAAGCUGGCGGCUUGGCAGGUGUGGAGGCCCCUUCCCGCAGACAUCUGUCAGCGGCUGUGGAAGCCCAGCCCCCUCCUCUUUGCAGAGGAAGAGCCCUGGAUUCCUGGCAAGAGCAGGCAUCCGUUCCACCGGUAUGUUCCAGCUGCUCGUCAUCCUGGAAGGAGGGUGGAAAAGCAAGAGAAAGAUUCCUCCUGGUAGAGCCAGAGCCGCUUGCUCCUCAGAUGUCAGACCUACGCAGGAGUUUCUGCAGGCAGAGGCACCCCGCUGCACCCGGGGCAUGCGGGCACUGCCUGCCUCUGCGUGGGGGAGGGCACCAUCUGCGAUUCGGCCAGGGUCUGGGUGAGCCCGCUGACGGAAGUCGUGAUUUGGAAUAAGCACUUAGGGGUCGCGCGGUGGUCAGAGAGGCGAUCAGGCCCACCAGUUCUUAUCCCCUCCCGAUCAGGACCGAGGCUCAGCUGCUGUGACAUGCUACAGCCCACCACGUGUUCACGUGGAAACACUUCUACACGAUGUUGACCAUCUUAGUUGCCCUUUUUCACACCUUCCCAAGCAAAGGCCUCUGAAAGUGUGCCGCCCAGAACUGGACCUGAUCCGACCAGGGAAGGGUAAGAUGGAAUUGUUUUCGUGCUCCUUUCUUUUAACAGGGGAGAUCUCUUGCUUUGGCCUAUCGAACAUGCCUUUCCACUGUUUUGGGUGAAAGCACCCUGAUUUCCCAUUGGGGAAUUACUCUUCCCUUAGUCUGAGAAGUCUUGAGGGCCCUUCAGUCAAGAUUCUCCCUGCCCCCUCCUACUGGGAUGGUAGCACACAGAAACCAAUUUAGGCCGUUCCGACUCUGGUUCUUAGGCCUUUGAGCUUUGGGGAGAAUGAUAUAACAAAAAACAGUGGAGCAGAGACAUUCUGAUGGGGUGGGGGACACACAAAGUCUGUCCAUUCAAUCCUGCUAAUGUCCCCUUCCUCUUAUUCUUGAGGGUUGGCCCUUCAGCAUCCAACAACUAUUCCAUAGCUUUCUAGCAAAGUUCUUUUCCAAAUAAGUUUGUCAGAGUCUGUCUCAAUUGCUUGCAACUAAAGAACUCUGACACAAUCAGAUUACCUUGUCCUGGCUCUGUCCCUACAGGGGCUCACUGUGGGCCAGACUCCUAAAUCUAUUUCACAGGUUAUGAUCUUCUUCUAUUCACAACACUUCUGACACCAAAUGAGUGGGAGUUUUUCCCCACACCAACAAAUUCUCCAAAUCUCUGGACACCGACUAGGUGUUCCACAAUUUAACUCAGUUCUGACACCAACCCUCCAGAGUUAGCACAGAUCCCACAGGUUAGGGCUCAAUCCUACAAAACUGCUCCCACUUCAGAUGCCACACACAAGUCCCAGAGCCUCCUGUACUUCUGACCAGCUGGCUAUCACAGGUUCAAUAAUUUCCUAUAACAACUCACAGAACUCAGGCGAACACGUUACUCACUACUACUAGUUUAUUGUGAAGGAUAUUAUAAAAGAUACGAAUGAACAAAUGGAAGAGAUACAUGGGACAAGGUAUUAGGGGAGGGGGAUGGGGGAGCUUCCAUGCCCUCCAUGGGCAGUCACCCUCCCAGGACCUCAGUGUGUUCACCAACCCAGGAGCUCUCCAAACCCCAGGGUUUAGGGGGUUUUAGGGAGGUUUCAUUACAUAAGUAUGAUUGAUUAAAUCACUGGCCUUUGGUGAUUAGCUCAAUCUCUGGUCCCUCUCCCCUUCCUGGAGGUCGGGGGUGGGGCUGAAAGUUCCAACCCUCUAAUCACAUAGGCGAUGAGCUCCCAUCCUGAAGCUCUCAAGGGACCCCCCCACCACCACCACCACAAGGGUCACUUCAUUAGCAUAAACUCAAGUAUGGUUGAAAGGGGCUUAUUAUAAAUAACAAAGAUGCUCCUGUCACCCCUGUCACUCAGGAAAUUCCAAGGGUUUUAGAAGAUCUGGUACCAGGAACGAGGGAUGAAGACAAAAUACAUAUUUCUUAUUAUAUCACAGGAUCACACAGGUGCUGCCAUUAAAUCACAUGUCCCCCAGUUCUGUACUUGGAAAGUUGAUUUGGGACAAAAACACAGUCUUUGAGACCUUGAGUCUGUUGUUUGUUUCUGGUUGCCUGCUGACUUGGCAAUCUCACCAUCAAGGUCCAUUCAAGUCACUGGCAAAAAUGUUAAGCAGCUAAUUAUAGCUCAUGCGUAUCAGCUCUGUGCCAUCCUUCAAGGCAAGAAAAUCAGUGUUCACAGAGUUUUCCUAAUUGGCCAAUAAGCGACGGACCUGAGCUUCACACCCAUGUCUGUCAGCUCCAAAACCAGGGAGAAAUAAUGGAUUCUCUGACGAUUCACAGCCCCGAGUCACUUGGAGCAGAAGUUGUAGCUUCAACUGUUGCUGAAGACCUCGACAAAGGGGGGCGAAGAAGCCUAUGGAGCUAGCACCAGGCUGCAAAAGGCCAAGUCUCAGAUGCUGUGCGGGCUGACUAACAGAGCAGUACAGCUACAGACUGGAGUCACUGAGGGUUGAGGCGGAGGUUUAAGGCAUCAGAUUUCCAGUGAGACAAAGGCCUGGGUGGGGAAAGCUCCUCCCACCCAGGUUUUGUUCAGCAUCCUGAGCACGGGCAUCAACACACUGACACACCCCACGUGCACAUGUCGGCAUCUCACCGUGGCGCCCUCUUUCCAAUUCAGAGGUCACAGGAAAGACACCCCUGCUUUCUCACGGUGCCCCCUCACCCCAUCUCGCUGCCUUGCUCCAAUAGGAAUGGCUCUUAGGGUCGGAAAUUAACGACAUAAAAGGUCUGACGUGCCCAGAGAAAAGACAAACACUGUGGGGAAAUGUAAGUUAUAUAACAUAAAUUUAGAUGUCGCUUUUACUGAAGUUUUUUUUUCUCACCCAGAUUUGGUAGUUUAAGAUCCUAAUUUUAUAACCACGGUUGCUGGGAGAACCUCGACUGAUUCCGAUCACUUUAAACAGCCUUUUAUAGUCACAGCCUCCAGAGUAUAUUUCCUCUUCUUUUUCAACAUAUCACAUUUCUUGGCAGAAAUAUCUAGCAGAAAGCACCAAAAUUUUUAUAAUGAGGAUAAAAUCAAAAUUUCACACAUCAGAUUUCUCUUGUAGAUUAUUUCUUCCUGUUGAAUCUUUCCCUAUUCUAGCUUUAUUUUAGUGACUAAGAAUUGAAAAUUUGAUUUCAGCGUCGUU